CCUACGGGAGGCAGCAGUGGGGAAUCUUGCGCAAUGGGCGAAAGCCUGACGCAGCAACGCCGCGUGCGGGAAGAAGGCUUUCGGGCUGUAAACCGCUUUCAGUAGGAACGAAAAUGACGGUACCUACAGAAGAAGGAGCGGCCAACUAUGUGCCAGCAGCCGCGGUGACACAUAGGCUCCAAGCGUUGUCCGGAUUUAUUGGGCGUAAAGAGCUCGUAGGCGGUUGAGUAAGUCGGGUGUGAAAACUUUGGGCUUAACCCAAAGAUGCCACUCGAUACUGUUCGACUUGAGUUCGGUAGGGGAGCGGGGAAUUCCUUGUGUAGCGGUGAAAUGCGCAGAUAUAAGGAGGAACACCGGUGGCGAAGGCGCCGCUCUGGGCCGAUACUGACGCUGAGGAGCGAAAGCGUGGGGAGCAAACAGGAUUAGAUACCCUGGUAGUCCACGCGGUAACGUACGGUCGUACUACGGUAGGUGGGUUUCGGUUACUACUAACUAGUAGAGUACCGUCCGGCCGGUCCGGCGUAACCGUACCGACUUAAGUUAGGUACCCGGACCCGUCCGGGGUAGGGGUAACGGGUUACCGGGUCCGAACGAACGUAAAACCUUAAACCUAAACGUAAGGAAGUUUAGGACGGGCCGUUGAAGGACGACGACCGACGGACGACGACGAGGGAGGUAGG
rnacentral:rRNA from 1 species